rnacentral:rRNA from 1 species
AUUGAACGCUGGCGGCAGGCCUCACACAUGCAAGUCGAACGAGUGGCGGACGGGUGAGUAAUGUCUGGGAAACUGCCUGAUGGAGGGGGAUGACUACUGGAAACGGUAGCUAAUACCGCAUACCAUCAUAUGUUCCCAGAUGGGAUUAGCUAGUGGGUGGGGUACCGGCUCACCAAGGCGACGAUCCCUAGCGGGUCUGAGAGGAUGACCAGCCACACUGGAACUGAGACACGGUCCAGACUCCUACGGGAGGCAGCAGUGGGAAAUAUUGCACAAUGGGGGCAAGCCUGAUGAAGCCAGGCCGCGUGUAUGAAGAAGGCCUUCGGGGUGUAAAGUACUUUCAGCGGGGAGGCGUUACCCGCAGAAGAAGCACCGGCUAACUCCGUGCCAGCCGCCGCGGUAAUAC